CCUACGGGUGGCAGCAGUGAGGAAUAUUGGUCAAUGGCCGGAAGGCUGAACCAGCCAUGCCGCGUGAAGGUCAGUGCCCUAUGGGCGUUAAACUUCUUUUGUGCGGGAGCAAUAAUGGUCACGUGUGGCCAGACGAGAGUACCGUACGAAUAAGCAUCGGCUCACUCCGUGCCAGCAGCCGCGGUAAUACGGGGGAUGCAAGCGUUAUCCGGAUUUAUUGGGUUUAAAGGGUGCGUAGGCUGUGAGGUAAGUCAGCGGUGAAAUGCCCCCGCUCAACGGGGUGAAGUGCCAUUGAUACUGCCUGGCUGGAAUGCGGAUGCCGUGGGAGGAAUGUGUGGUGUAGCGGUGAAAUGCAUAGAUAUCACACAGAACACCGAUUGCGAAGGCAUCUCACGAAGCCGCGAUUGACGCUGAUGCACGAAAGCGUGGGUAUCAAACAGGAUUAGAUACCCCAGUAGUC
rnacentral:rRNA from 1 species